rnacentral:rRNA from 1 species
GACGAACGCUGGCGGCGUGCCUAAUACAUGCAAGUCGAGCGGACAGAAGGGAGCUUGCUCCCGGAAGUUAGCGGCGGACGGGUGAGUAACACGUGGGCAACCUACCCUGUAGAUCGGGAUAACAUCGAGAAAUCGGUGCUAAUACCGGAUAAUCAUUUGAAGUGCAUGCUUCGAAUGUAAAAGAUGGCUCCGGCUAUCACUACGGGAUGGGCCCGCGGCGCAUUAGCUAGUUGGUAAGGUAAUGGCUUACCAAGGCAACGAUGCGUAGCCGACCUGAGAGGUGGAUCGGCCGCACGGGGACUGAGACACGGCCCAGACUCCUACGGGAGGCAGCAGUAGGGAAUCUUCCGCAAUGGACGAAAGUCUAACGGAGCAACGCCGCGUGAGUGAUGAAGGUUUUCGGAUCGUAAAGCUCUGUUGUUAGGGAAGAACAAAUGCCGUUUGAAUAAGGCGGCACCUUGACGGUACCUAACCAGAAAGCCACGGCUAACUACGUGCCAGCAGCCGCCGUAAAAC